rnacentral:rRNA from 1 species
UACAGAGGGGGCAAGCGUUGUUCGGAAUUACUGGGCGUAAAGGGUGCGUAGGCGGGUCUUUAAGUCAGGGGUGAAAUCCUGGAGCUCAACUCCAGAACUGCCUUUGAUACUGAGGAUCUUGAGUUCGGGAGAGGUGAGUGGAACUGCGAGUGUAGAGGUGAAAUUCGUAGAUAUUCGGAAGAACACCAGUGGCGAAGGCGGCUCACUGGUCCGGUACUGACGCUGAGGUGCGAAAGCGUGGGGAGCAAACAGG